ACGGAAGGCAGCAGUGGGGAAUUUUGCGCAAUGGGGGGAACCCUGACGCAGCAACGCCGCGUGCGGGACGGAGGCCUUCGGGUUGUAAACCGCUUUCAGCAGGGAAGACUUUGACGGUACCUGCAGAAGAAGCUCCGGCUAACUACGUGCCAGCAGCCGCGGUAAUACGUAGGGGGCGAGCGUUAUCCGGAUUCAUUGGGCGUAAAGCGCGCGUAGGCGGCGGCCUAAGCGGAACCUCUAACCUUGGGGCUCACCCUCAAGCCGGGUUCCGAACUGGGCCGCUCGAGUGCGGUAGGGGCAGGCGGAAUUCCACGUGUAGCGGUGAAAUGCGCAGAUAUGUGGAGGAACACCGAUGGCGAAGGCAGCCUGCUGGGCCGUCACUGACGCUGAGGCGCGAAAGCUGGGGGAGCGAACAGGAUUAGAUACCCUGGUA
rnacentral:rRNA from 1 species